AUUUUUAUGAUGUGUUAUGGGUGGGAGCCAUUAAAGGCAGUCACAUCAGCUUUGUUUGCACAGUAUGUUAAUGCAUAUCCGUAUGUGUGUCAGAGGCCAGUAUGGUAAAGUUCACGUGUUUCUCUCUUAUCAGGAUGGACAGCCUGACAUCUUGCACACCUUCUGGAGUUCAGUCACUCAGACGCUCUCCGAGGAGCUGCAGAAAGCCACAGCUGGUGAGUCUCAGUCUGGGGUUUUUGUUUAAGACGAUGCCCCGCCAUGCAUCUCAAAAGCUCAUUCUGUGUGUGAGUGUUACACAAGCUCCCUCCUGCGCCCAGUCUCUCUCUCUUCUCCUCCGCUCUUGCUUUCUUUUCAUCACAUUGCAGUCAGAUUCAAAUUCUAUUACCCACGUACACUCUUCUGGAGUUGCUUUUAAGAAGCCCGAUUCUGUUAACCCUUUUCUUUAUGAACUGAGCCUGUAUGCUUUCUCAGAUAUUGUUCGUUCUUCACUACCACUUCACACUCACAUCUGAAGCCAGAGGGGCUCCUUGGAGAAACGUUUACACCUCCAGUCUCUGAUGAAUUUUUGAGCUCAGAUGCAGCCAAUGAUAGAGUCCAUUAUCAAUACAGACAUACAACGCAAACUACACUGAUGCCAGGGUGUUAUCAUCACUGAGAAGCAGGAUAAAUCAAGGUGUUUGGUCACAAGGGAAUAUGGAGGAAGCAGACCUUCAAAUGUGAGAUUCAUGUGACUCCACAGCAUCAACCUUCCUGAAGCAGGCCCUGGAGGGAGAGUAUCCCAAACUCUCGAGGCUGUAUAAUGAGCUCUGGAAGAGGCUCCAGCAGUACAGAUCAAGCAUACAGGGGGCGCUAGUGAGCAGUGGUGCAGGUCUAGAUGUGGACCUGUCAGUGAUGCUGAAGAUCUGACUAUGAUCCAGAGAAGGAUCUGAAGGACUCUCUUCAGCCAUAUGAAGCAGCUUAUGAAGUCUCUUGUGUGACCCCAUCAAUCUUGAUGAGAAACCCACCUUCUGAUGAUGAACUUGACAGCAUCAUUAAAACAAUAGCCAGGGGACGCCAGUCAGGUGAUCGGACCCCUGACGGAGGGUCAGAGGAGAAACAUCGCUGUGGUGAACUCGCUUUUUCUGCCGGCAGCAAGCUGUGGCUAAAACAAGUGAGCACAUCGCUGGGAGUCAAGCGCUGGGAGAUUUGAUUCCAUACAGCACCAUAUUGCAUUUCCUGUUCACUCCUGCCCCAUCUGAACUCAAAUCACCACAUCAGGGGGGCACUGGAGGCAUAUGUGCUGUCUAUCUAUCUAUCCAGGAGUUUGCCCCGGUGUAUCCCAUCAUGCUCCAGCGGAUGCAGAAGGCCACAAGCGUCUCAUAGGAUCUGCAAACAGAGCCAUGUCUCAUCAGAAUAAUGUAGACAAUUCGUCACACAAUAAACUCUUCACCAAAAGAAGUCUUUAUUAUAUUUCAUUACAUUAUGAUGAUUGUUGAAGUCAGAAAUUAAUGUGUAUAGGUUUACAAUGUAUUUUAUAUGGGUUGUUUGAUUACGACUGGCUUUGAUAAGAAUCCCUGCAUUUUAAACAAAUCUAUACAUAUUUAAAAAUUAAUCUGUUUUGCUGGGUGCAGCAGAAUGCAAAACUAUGACUAAACACAUUACGCAAAUGCUGAUUAAAGAAUGUC